AUACGAAGGGGGCUAGCGUUGUUCGGAAUUACUGGGCGUAAAGCGCGCGUAGGCGGAUUGGUCAGUUAGGGGUGAAAUCCCAGGGCUUAACCCUGGAACUGCCUCUAAUACUGCCAGUCUUGAGUUCGGGAGAGGUGAGUGGAAUUCCUAGUGUAGAGGUGAAAUUCGUAGAUAUUAGGAAGAACACCAGUGGCGAAGGCGGCUCACUGGCCCGAUACUGACGCUGAGGCGCGAAAGCGUGGGUAGCAAACAGGAUUAGAAACCCUAGUAGUCC
rnacentral:rRNA from 1 species